UACGAGCCUCACGUCUCCCCUCUUCCAUUCUCGCCUUAAAUCCUCUCUCUCCACACCGGCGAUCGGACCAGCUGCCAACGCUGAGACACCGGCGAUACACCUCCGAGCGCAUAACAAGUACCGGAAACGCCACGCGCGGCGCGCCUCAGUGAUCAUCUGAAAUGAAUUUUGGGCAAUAUUUUCAAACGGAGGAUAUUGCGGGACCCGCGUUGGCAACCCUACCGCUGAUCAUGUUCAAAGAGAUUUGGAUUCUAUCAUGGACUCCUCUCCAAAUUUCCGCCGGCGAGCACCUGAUGACACAUCAGAUUCUCUGAAAAACAUUGUUGUGCCCAACAGUGCGCUUAUGCGUCCAUGCUUCCUCACUCCAACUCCAAGCCAUGGCACUAGAACUUCAAUCGUCGGCUGCUCAACUGGAUCAAUGGCCAGUGAGAACCCAACAGUAGCCUAUACGAACAUGCUCGGAGAAGUUUAUACAGCUAUUCCAGCGGGGAACAGAUCAACCGCAGCCUAUGAAAGAACCAUGACCGUCUUCAAGGAACUUAAACUGCAGCUACAAGAAACUCCUGCUGAUGAGAUGCCGGAGCAACAUUAGCCAGCCUAUUGUGAUCAAGAUCACCAUUCUGCAAUCAUUUUUAAAGCCCCACCAAAGGGUUCAAGAACUGAACAUGGAGUGACACCAAUCAUCGGCGCACAUGGGGAAAAGUUGCGCAUAAGAGCUUGUGGGAAGUGUGGCAGUGAAUUUUUGUAGUUCUUGCACAUUCAGUAUAAUUAAUGUGAAUUUUUCUGACUCUUAAA